rnacentral:lncRNA from 1 species
GUCCUCGGGCGCAGCGGCGGUGGCAGCAGCGGCGCCCCUCUGGGUGACUUGGCCGUGAGAAAGUGAAAGGAGCCCGCAGGCGGCGGCGACAGCUGCGCUGGGAGGGGCUUGUUUCCAGGCUCAGAGGCCCCGCGCACUCUGCGGGUGCGGAGCGAGCUUUUCGGUGUGCACUGUGACAACCACAAACACACUUUUGAACGUAGUGGGGCUUGGCUGCUGCGAGUUACGCAGGUAUCCUGGAGAGGCAGGGCACCCGGGGACACGGAUGACUCGAGGCCGACUUCGGGUGGCUCUCUCUGCUCCUUCCUGUGGGGGUGAAGACGCCCGGGUCCUCGCCGGCCCGUGCGCAGGGGAGCGGGACCGAGGAGCGCUCUCGCUCCGUCCUGCGGCGUCCCGCGCCCAGGUGCACAUCGGGGAGCUGGGGACGCAGGCGACUCAGGCAGUUUCUGGGAGUCGUUCUUACGUCAUCAUGUCACGGGCAGAACAGGGCAGAGCGCCCGCCUUUCUCGCAAAACCCUCCUGUCCCUUGUGUACUUACACUGUUACAAGUAAAGACUUCCCCAAGUGACCAAAUUUUAGAGCAUUACAGUAAAAUUGGUACUUGCAGAUGCCUCAGCUUGAUUCCUUAAUUGAUACGUAUCUAGCCACAACUUUAAACUACCGAGGGACGAUGUAAGACUGCUGUGUCGCUUUUCUUUCCUUCAAAUAAACUUUUACUCGGUACCUGUUCUUGGCAAUUAGACUGCGUUAAUCACAGCCACAAAGACGUGGAAAUGUCUGCCGUCAAGAAAUUGGAAAUCGUAUCGAGGCAAGAAUUACAAGUAAAAAGUUGAAUAACAAGUGGUGGGGGAGGGGGAAUGGCUGAAGAAAAUAAAAUAGAAAAAAAAAAACAACUUCAUAGUGAGGAAGUCAGUCCACUAGUCAUUGUCUAAUGAAAUGUGUUUAUUCUUUGCUAACAGAACCCAGACUGGCAAGCCUGUUGCUAACCAACCUGCCAGGAGACCUUUCAACUGGGCAAAAUGUGCUUUCACUUUGUUCCAGGUCAAAUGGGUAAAGUAGCUGGAAAGUAUUGUGUGGGCAAAUCAGACAUGUUGAAUUGCUAAUGAAGUAAAAACAGGAGCAGACAGAAUUCCUGGAACUGAAAUAGCUUCGAGAUAUCUGGUUAGAAACAGUAGUGAUGUGCCUACUUUUUUCUCAACCCUCUACGCCCUCAUGAUUCAUCACUGAGGUCAAGGAUAUCCUAUGAAAAUUGGAGUUUUUGUAUUCCAUGAAGGCUUUUGUUGUAUCUGUGCUGUCGAUGAAUUCUAGGUCUUUUCAGUCUAGUGGUAGAAGGCCCAAUUUCAGUCUGACCUGUUUCAAGGUAAGGAAUAAAUGUUAUUCACGAAUGAAAUAUACAGGCACACAAAAUGAGAUGUGAAAAGUAUAUGUUUCACCAACUAAUUCAGGGAAAAAGAAAUGUUUGCGUUAUCAAAGCUGUUUCUCAUCUACUAAAAGUUAAAAUUAAGGAGAGUGACAGAUCUCUACAUGAGUAGACAGAAAGUAAUUGAUAGUGUCAGGAUAUUAAUUCAUGAAAAUAUUAGUACACUCGGAUUAUCUACAAAAAGCUUAGAAACUCAGCUGUACUGCAUCUAAAGCCAAGGCAUAGCUCUAACAAAAUGUUUUAUAGAAUGUACCUGCAAGUAGAGUAACAGCCCCAAAGAUAUGGAGGAGACAUUGAUACAUCAAAAAUUGUAACCUGUGUGUGUAUGUGUGUGUGUGUGUAUUGUGUUUCCCUUACAGUCAUUACUAGAAUCCAUUUUGGGAACUGAGCAGUGUGGCCAGGAAAUAUAGAUUAAAUGGAUAUUUAAGGAAGCAAAUCUGUUGCCCCUCAGUUGCUACAACCAUUUUAUCCAGAGUCCCCUAGUGUGACUGUCUUUUAUGCCCUUUUUUUCACAUUUAAAUAAAUUGUUUUUACUCUCUUGUCUUAAACUGUUUUAUAAACUUAUCGUACAGAUGAUACUUUCAAUCCUUUGGAAAGUUAUCACCAUGAAAAUUGUGAGUAAAAGUAGGCUGAUAUCGGAGGAGUCAUAAUACAGAAUGAGUAGUAUUUUUAUUUAAUACCCAUUGGAACCCUGGAAGGUAAUAAGUCAAAGUCUGAAUAUCCGCCUCAAGUAAGCACCUCAAAGUAGGGUGUUUACCACUAUAUAACAGGCUGAGCAAAUUACCAAGACACACAGCUACUUGACACCUGUCGAGUUUGUCGGUUUUUUUGUUUGUUUUUUAGCUAAUAAUCUAUACUUCUCCCCAGCCCCCCAUAGUGGGGGAGAAAAGGGCAAAAAGUAUACAUUCUAAGCUCUUGGGAAAAGAUACCAUACUUUCUUUCUGGAGGAAUCCAGUCCUGUAUAGUUCUAGUUAAUCCAUACUUUUCUAGGUGUCCUGAAAUUAAAAGUGAUACAAAUGAAUCUUUCUUGCCA